CAUAAAAUCCUCUUAUUAACUGUUAUAUAGUCUAUGGAUGUUUCUUUUCAUUCCAAUUUGAACCAAGUAGGCCUAACCAUCAACAUCUCCAGUCUGUCAUGAAGCACUUGAAGAGGACUUUUGUGGAGGGAACAUGCCCUCAAGAUGCCCAUCUUGGUAGAUGAUUCAAAUGGACUUCAAAAUCACUUCACCCUCUGCUUUGCUUUGUCAAGACAUAAGGACAACGACUAUGCUCUUUGUCUUGUGGAAUUUUCCCCAAAGAAGAUAAAAAUGUUUUUCAGAUUCCAGAAUUGUGAAAGUUUUAAUGUGUGUCAAGGAGAGACAGAGACUGAAGGCUUCAAGCUGGAAUCUAGAGGUCACAAUGAAUCAAUGGAUGAAAGAAAGGGCUAUCUCCAACUAUCUCGUUCUCUCCCAGGCAAGACAUAUCGAAUGUAACAAUAUCAAGGACAUGUGGCUCCUUGAUAGCUUGUGGCUGAAUAUGUCAAAAGACUUACUGGCAUCCUGAAAUUAAAGCUGAAUCAGAAGCAAUUAAGAUCCAUAUAAUGCCAUUCUAAACGUACAUUUUUGGAAUUGUGAAAUGGACUAUUACAAUUCUGAAAACAAAAACCUAUCCAAUAUUAAUGAAACUCAGGGCUGGCCACCUUCAGGCAGCUAUAGAAAGAUGAACAUUUCCCUGCCAAGAAGAAGGAAGAAGAUGGAUAGGCGUUCUUAGGACACAGGAUAAGCAGGGCAAAAAUUUACAGAAAUAUUUUUGCAACAAGCAGAUAUUACUACAUCAAGCAGUAUUCAAGGCUAAUAACAGGUAGAGGUCAUUGGACUUGUCCAAUGCAACUGAAAGUGAUUUGCCUUCAGAUGGUGUCUGUGAAACAGCUAAGAUUCACAAAUGGAAUCAAAAGGCCUCUCCACAGGCAAUAUCCACAGGAACUCAACUAACGAUAUGUCAACAAAAAGCAUCAGAGAAAUGGCUUGAAUUGUAAAGAUUUAUUUCUGGAAAUGGAAGAGUCUGUGAUGGUGAUUCGGGAGCAGAUCUUUGUCCCUGGAUACUACAGAAGGGUCAUCCUUACAGAGUUUGGACUCGGGAGAGUGUCCCAAAAGUCUUAGUGCAGUUCAGAGCUGUUACAGCUUAAAAGCUUAAUUAUUAAAGUUCUGCACUAAGACUUUUGGGAAACGCUGUAUGAGUAACGACUAUAACAAUGUAGGCAGAAAGAACCACCACCACAAAACAAUAAUACAUGAAUGUUGCAUAAUUACAAAGAAUUGUUAUCUCCCCUCCUUUUUCCCUUGAGGUGGAAAGUCCACGGGGAUGAAACAUUGCAUAUAUUUUCAGAUUUUUAAAAAAUGUAUUGUCUGUUUUUUCUUCUCUCUCUUUUGCAAAAUCUUUCUAAUAUGGGUGACUCUUGGGUUGGAGAGAAGGAGGGAUACCUAAUAGGGGAAUUGAGGCUAUAUAAAAAACAAAAGCUAUCAAUAAAAUUUACAUUAAAAAGA